rnacentral:misc_RNA from 1 species
GCAAACUUGGUCAUUUAGAGGAAGUAAAAGUCGUAACAAGGUCUCCGUUGGUGAACCAGCGGAGGGAUCAUUAAUGAGUUACCAAACUCCAAAACCCUUUGUGAACCUUACCGUCGUUUCCUCGGCGCGUGCUGCGGUUACCCUGUAGCUACCCUGGAGACACCUACCCUGUAGGUGUCUACCCUGGAGCUACCCUGUAGCCGCGUGAAGGCCCGCCGCAGGACCAUUAAACUCUUGUUUUUACAGCUGUAUCUCUGAAUACUUAACUGAAAUAAGUUAAAACUUUCAACAACGGAUCUCUUGGUUCUGGCAUCGAUGAAGAACGCAGC